AGUGAAACCUUUUGAACACUAGUGAAGUCACUGUUUUUUUUCCAAUCUUCAUGCAUUUUGGUCGAAUAUUUGUUCAAAUGAUGGCUCAGUCCAGUUUCGAAAUUUUUAUGUCUAUUCAAAAAACAUAUCCACUAGAGCACGAGGCAAUUGUCUUUAUAUGGCUAUAAUGAAACCUUGUAAAUUCUCUAGAAGUGACAUUUUUAGCCAUAUCUCCAUAAAUUUUGGUCAGAAUAUUUAUUCUAAUGAUAGCUCAGUUGUCGAGUUUGUAACUGGUUCCGGUUUGUAGACUAACAUGGCUGCCAGUGGACAUGACAGUUUUUCUUAAUGUGCUAGAGUAGAACCUUGUUAACACACAAUUGGCCCUUUUUAUGUGCAUUUUUCAUGAAUGAUGAUCAGAGCAUUUGGCCCAAUGUAAUCUCAGCUGACUUUGAAACUGGAUCACAUAACGUCAAAAAGUGGGUCAAAAUGUCAAAUUAAAAAAAGCUUGUAAACACUGGAAGUUGCAUUUAAAAUUGUGUUCCUUUUUUAUGUCCCCCACUAUAGUAGUGGGGGACAUAUUGUUUUUGCCCUGUCUGUUGGUUGGUCUGUUGGUUGGUUGGUUUGCGCCAACUUUAACAUUUGCAAUAACUUUUGCAAUAUUGAAGAUAGGAACUUGAUAUUUUGCAUGCAUAUGUAUCUCAUGGAGCUGCACAUUUUGAGUGGUGAAAGGUCAAGGUCAUCCUUCAAGGUCAGAGGUCGAAUAUAUGUGGCCCAAAUCGCUUAUUUUAUGAAUACUUUUUCUAUAUUGAAGAUAGCAACUUGAUAUUUGGCAUGCAUGUGUAUCUCAUUGAGCUGCACAUUUUUAGUGGUGAAAGGUCAAGGUCAUCCUUCAAGGUCAAAUAUAUGGGUCAAAAUUGAUCAUGUAAUGUCACUUCUGCAAUAUUGAAGCUAGCAAUUUUAUAUUUGAAAUGCAUGUGUAUCUCAUGGAGCUGCACAUUUUGAGUGGUGAAGGGUCAAGGUCAUCCUACAAGGUCAAACGUCAUAUAGGGGGACAUUGUGUUUCACAAACACAUCUUGUUUAAAGUUUGUCAAAACAUUUGCUGUAAUGAUAAGCAAAGUCAAGUUUAUAAAUAAUAUUUGUCUACAAAUUACAUAUUUUUCAUUAAGUUCAUUUAUUAUUCUAAACUACACCCUCUCAGAAUAGUUUAGUUACUUCUGGUCACAGUUGAGCACCUUAGGGCUCUUGUUCUAUAAUUUGAUUGUUUUGGAAAAUUGUCAUUUUGCCAAAAUGUGAGCAAGUCCAAAUUUAAUUAACCCUGCUUUGUAGUAUCUUGUUUUCCUUAUAUGUAAAAAGUGGAAAAUUAUCUAUGAAUCUGACUGCAUAGAUAUUUGGUAUUCAGCAAAGCAUCGUGUAAAUGUAGUAAAACUAAACACAAUUGUGUUAGCAUAAAACUGGCCAUGCCAUGGGGGUCAAAUGGUUAAUACAGACUUGUAGGAAAAAGACUUCUAAAAAUUUUAUCCGUUAAAUAUAUUUUGUGUACAUAAUGAUUAGCUUUUUCCUUCAACUUAUC